rnacentral:rRNA from 1 species
ACUCGAGUGGCGAACGGGUGAGUAACACGUGGGUGAUCUGCCCUGCACUUCGGGAUAAGCCUGGGAAACUGGGUCUAAUACCGGAUAGGAGCCAUUUUUAGUGUGAUGGUUGGAAAGUUUUUUCGGUGUAGGAUGAGCUCGCGGCCUAUCAGCUUGUUGGUGGGGUAAUGGCCUACCGAGGCGGCGACGGGUAGCCGGCCUGAGAGGGUGGACGGCCACAUUGGGACUGAGAUACGGCCCAG